rnacentral:rRNA from 1 species
AUUGAACGCUUGCGGCAGGCCUAACACCUGCAAGUCGAACGAGUGGCGGACGGGUGAGUAAUGUCUGGGAAACUGCCCGAUGGCGGGGGAUAACUACUGGAAACGGUAGCUAAUACCGCAUACCAUCGGAUGUGCCCGGAUGGGAUGAGCUAGUCGGUGGGGUAACGGCUCACCUAGGCGACGAUCCCUAGCUGGUCUGAGAGGAUGACCAGACAGACUGGAACUGAGACACGGUCCGGACUCCUAAGUGAGGCAGCAGUGGGGAAUAGUGCACAAUGGGCGCAAGCCUGAUGCAGCCAUGCCGCGUGUAUGAAGAAGGCCUUCGGGUUGUAAAGUACUUUCAGCGGGGAGGCGUUACCCGCAGAAGAAGCACCGGCUAACUCCGUGCCAGCAGCCGCGGUAAUAC